GCAAAGCCUCCAUGAGUCGAUAUUGCCCUUCACAUGGUCAAGUUCUGUCUGCACUGCUGCCUUGUCGAAGAAACUAAGGUCUUCUGUAUGAUCAAGCUUGCGACUCCCCGUGAUUGCAGACUCUGCGUCUGUGGUCUCAUACAAGAGAGACUUUUCUUCAGGCACAUUAACUUUAAAUUUUCUAAAGGAUGCAACCAGCACUUGACAUAUGCGCGUCAGAGGGCUUCCUCCAGGUUUCUGGUUACGAUACAAUCGGGUACCAGAAAAGAAGCUUACUAUAGCAAUGGCCAUGGUCACUGCUGGAAUCCCAAAACCCCAUCCCCACCCCACAUUAUCUUGUAUCCAAACCAGCACAGAAGAAGCAAUCAGAGCACCAAUAUUAAUCGAAAAAUAAAACCAGUUAAAGAAAGAUGACUUGUGUUUCUUCUCAACCUCAUCAGAAUCAUCAAACUGAUCUGCCCCGUAAGAUGAAACACACGGCUUGAUCCCACCAGUACCCAAUGCUAUGAGGUAAAGUGCAACAAAGCAAACUGCAGUUUGCACUUCCUUUGGAUGACAGACAUCUUCCCCAGAACAACUUGGCUUUAAGCCGGGAACAGAAGCUGACAAUGUCAACAGAGUCAUCCCAAUUACAUAGAUGAUUGAGAAAAGAGCAAUUGUCCAGUAUCUUCCUAAAUAAGCAUCAGCUAGAAAUGCCCCAAUUAGGGGUGUAAUAUAACAAGUUCCAGACCAAUUUGAGACAUUCUUUGAAGCUGUAGCACUAUGUUGGUUGAGUCUUUUCUUGAAAUACAAAACAAGAUUAGUACUCAUACCAUAAUAUGCCAAUCUUUCACAACACUCAUUUCCUAAGAUAAAAGGGCAAGCUUUCCAUGUUCCAGUUUCAUUCCUUUUAGCAGGAUUAUUUCUGAAAUCAACUGUACCAUCUUUAGUAUACAAAUCAUCUUCUGCAACAACUUCUCCCAUAGCCUUUCUAUAUGUUGAAUUUGAUAUUGUUUGGUUUGGUUUCCAGCAGAGUUGGAAAAUCAAGAAAAUUGUGUGCUUUAAAAAGAUAAGC
rnacentral:misc_RNA from 1 species